UUGGUAUUCCCUCUGUUUUAAAUUACUUGUCUUUGAUUUGUUUAGAUACGGAUGUAUCUAAACUUAUUUUAGUGCUAGAUACCCUCAUAUCUAGACAAAUUCAAGACAAGUAAUUUGAAAUGGAAGGAAUAUGUG
rfam:Triticum aestivum genome assembly, contig: Triticum_aestivum_CS42_TGACv1_scaffold_376112_5AL